rnacentral:rRNA from 1 species
UGGGGAAUAUUGCACAAUGGGCGGAAGCCUGAUGCAGCAACGCCGCGUGCGGGAUGACGGCCUUCGGGUUGUAAACCGCUUUCGCCUGUGACGAAGCGUGAGUGACGGUAAUGGGUAAAGAAGCACCGGCUAACUACGUGCCAGCAGCCGCGGUGAUACGUAGGGUGCGAGCGUUGUCCGGGUUUAUUGGGCGUAAAGGGCUCGUAGGUGGUUGAUCGCGUCGGAAGUGUAAUCUUGGGGCUUAACCCUGAGCGUGCUUUCGAUACGGGUUGACUUGAGGAAGGUAGGGGAGAAUGGAAUUCCUGGUGGAGCGGUGGAAUGCGCAGAUAUCAGGAGGAACACCAGUGGCGAAGGCGGUUCUCUGGGCCUUUCCUGACGCUGAGGAGCGAAAGCGUGGGGAGCGAACA